rnacentral:rRNA from 1 species
AUGGCAGCUCACACUGGAGCAGCACUCCUCGCCAGCCUUCUUGCUCUUGCAACCAUUGUAAGCAGCAACACUGAAGGCAUCUCGGGCACCCUGAUCCCUGAGCUGGGAGGACUGAAGAACCUUCAGUACCUGGAGCUUUUUACGAACAACAUUAGUGGAUCCAUACCAACAACCCUCGGCAACCUGACAAGCCUGGUCACCCUUGAUCUCUACGACAACCUUCUCACCAGCGCUAUACCGGCCUCGCUCGCCAACAUCAGGACACUGCGUUUUCUGAGGCUGUAUCGGAAUAAACUGUUAGGAGGUAUACCCGCACGGCUGUGCCGUCUGACGAAGCUUGUGAAGUUGAAUCUUGAGGAUAACAUGCUGACUGGCACGGUGCCGCUGGAGGUCCUCUCUCUUCUUCUCGUCGGGGACUUGGCUGAACUGGUCUGGUGCUUUGUGCUCACGAGAAUUUUCCUAUUAGCAUUAUUUGCAGUGGCUGUGGUCAUCCAGUACGCGCUCAAGACUACAGGCUGA